rnacentral:rRNA from 1 species
GUCCUACGGGAGGCAGCAGUGAGGAAUAUUGGUCAAUGGACGAGAGUCUGAACCAGCCAAGUCGCGUGAAGGAUGACUGCCCUAUGGGUUGUAAACUUCUUUUAUAUGGGAAUAAAGUUUUCCACGUGUGGAAUUUUGUAUGUACCAUAUGAAUAAGGAUCGGCUAACUCCGUGCCAGCAGCGGCGGUAAUACGGAGGAUCCGAGCGUUAUCCGGAUUUAUUGGGUUUAAAGGGAGCGUAGGUGGACAGUUAAGUCAGUUGUGAAAGUUUGCGGCUGAACCGGAAAAUUGCAGUUGAUACUGGCG